rnacentral:tRNA from 1 species
GCCAACGUGGCACAACUCGGUACUGCGCAAGCCUGGAAAGCUUGUUUCCGCAAGGAUAUCCCGGAAACUUUGGUAAAGUUUCAUCAAAGCUCAAGCGGGGUAUUGCUUCGCAAACCCCGCGAAUGGAGAACGAAAUCUAGACCAAGUUGGGAAAUUCAAAUCCGGGCGUUGGCG